AUCGUUUGCGGGUCUUCCUACCCGCCCUAUUCGGCCUUGCCGGCGCAUUUAUCGGUCGCCCGGAUGAGCCGGUCGAGAAUGCCCGGCUCC
rnacentral:sRNA from 1 species